rnacentral:lncRNA from 1 species
AGCGAUUGUGGAGGUCAGGACUGAAAGGCCUUCACACCCCUGGCCUUCCAGUCAGCAGGGAAGGGAGGUGGAUGAAUGGGAGAGAGACAACCAUAUUGAUUUUUGUCAUUGAUACAAAAGAAAACUCUCCCUUCACUUGGCUUGGACUGUUAUCAUUGCUGAAUUUCUGUAAGCAGUUACACAGUGGCUGUUCAAUGAGCCAUACCUAACAAAGUAAUGAGGUUUAAUUAGCCCAGCUUAAUCUGACACUGUGCUGCUGGCACACUAUCUUCUUGUACAGCUGGCUAGUGAUGCAUGUAUGCAUAUGAAAUAAAGAUCACUCCUUAAAAUUUUUCUUUGCUUCU